AUUGAACGCUGGCGGCAUGCUUUACACAUGCAAGUCGAACGGCAGCACAAACUUCGGUUUGGUGGCGAGUGGCGAACGGGUGAGUAAUGCAUCGGAACGUGUCCUGAAGUGGGGGAUAACGCAUCGAAAGAUGCGCUAAUACCGCAUAAUCUCUGAGGAGAAAAGUGGGGGAUCGAAAGACCUCAUGCUUUUGGAGCGGCCGAUGUCUGAUUAGCUAGUUGGUGGGGUAAUGGCCUACCAAGGCGACGAUCAGUAGUUGGUCUGAGAGGAUGGCCAGCCACACUGGGACUGAGACACGGCCCAGACUCACGGGAGCAGCAGUGGGAAUUUUGGACAAUGGGCGCAAGCCUGAUCCAGCAAUGCC
rnacentral:rRNA from 1 species